GCAAGUCGAGCGUGAAAGCCUUCGGGUGAGUAGAGCGGCGGACGGGUGAGUAACGCGUGGGAAUCUACCUAGUAGUGGGGGACAACAGCCGGAAACGGCUGCUAAUACCGCAUACGUCCUAUGGGAGAAAGUGGGGGAUCUUUUGACCUCACGCUAUUAGAUGAGCCCGCGUAAGAUUAGCUAGUUGGUGGGGUAAAGGCCUACCAAGGCGACGAUCUUUAGCUGGUCUGAGAGGAUGAUC
rnacentral:rRNA from 1 species